UACAGAGGUCUCAAGCGUUUGUUCGGAUUCAUUGGGCGUAAAGGGUGCGUAGGCGGCGCGGUAAGUCGGGUGUGAAAUCUUGGAGCUUAACUCCGAAACUGCAUUCGAUACUGCGGUGCUUUGAGGACUGGAGAGGAGACUGGAAUUCAUGGUGUAGCAGUGAAAUGCGUAGAGAUCAUGAGGAAGACCAGUGGCGAAGGCGGGUCUCUGGACAGUUCCUGACACUGAGACACGAAGGCCAGGGGGAGCAAAACGGG
rnacentral:rRNA from 1 species